AACUAGGAUCAGUAGAGCUGGGGAAGAC
rnacentral:piRNA from 1 species